rnacentral:rRNA from 1 species
UUAUUAAUUAUAUUAUAUUGGUUUUUUGUUUUAUUUUUGUUUAAUAUAAAUAAUUUUAUUAAUUUUUGUCUUGGUAUAUUUUGUAGAAUUGAUUUUUUUUUGUAAUAGUUUAUUUGUAAUGUAAUUGAUUUAUGAAAUAUAAUUUAUAUUUUUAAAAGUAGAUUUGUUUUAUUGUACCUUUUGUAUCAGGGUUUAUUAAAAUUUUUUAUUUAUAUAUAUUUAUCUCGAUAUAGGUUGAUUUAUAAAUAAUUUUUAGUUAAUGUGUUAUAAUUAUUAUAAAAUUAUUUAUAGAAUGAAAUGUUAUUCGUUUCCUAAGAUAUCUAGUUUCUUAAGAAAAAAUUUAAUUUUUAAAACUUUAUGUUAUUUUUAUGUAAUUAAUUUUUAAUAUUAGUUUUAUUAUUUUUUAGGGGAUAAGCUCUAAAUUGAAUCUGANUAACAUAAAACCAGCUAUUUUAUUGAUUUCGUUUUAGUUCAUUUUAAAAAAAUUAUGAUUUUUUAAUUAUUUUAGUUUUGUUAUUAAGAUUUUUUAUUUAAUUUUGAAGUUUUUGUAAUAAUGAUAAAAUUAGUAUAAAAAUUUGUUUAUAAUGUUAUUUAAUUAUAAUUUAUUAUAAGGAAUUAGGCAAAGUAAUUUCCGCCUGUUUAUCAAAAACAUGUCCUCCUGAUAAUAUUUUGAGGUCUAGUCUGCUCACUGAUAAUAACUUUGAAGAGCCGCGGUAUUUUGACCGUGCAAAGGUAGCAUAAUCAUUAGUUUCUUAAUUAGAGGCUAGUAUGAACGGCUUGACGAGAAAUUAACUGUCUCUUAUUAAAUUUUAAAAUUUAACUUUUAAGUUAAAAGGCUUAAAUUUUUUUCAAGGACGAGAAGACCCUAUAGAGCUUUAUAUAUUAUUUUUUAAGAAAUUUUAGUUAAUAUUUUUAUAAUUAAGGGGUAUAUUUUGUUGGGGUGACAUAAAGAAUAAAUAAACUCUUUUUAUUAAAAUCAUUGAUUUAUGUUUAAUUAUGAUCCAUAAUUUAUGAUCAUAAGAUUAAGUUACCUUAGGGAUAACAGCGUAAUUUGUUUAGAGAGCCCAUAUUGACAAAUAAGAUUGCGACCUCGAUGUUGGAUUAAGAUAAAUUUUUAGUGCAGUAGCUAUAUAAUUAGGUCUGUUCGACCUUUAAAUUCUUACAUGAUCUGAGUUCAGACCGGCGUGAGCCAGGUCGGUUUCUAUCCUGAGAAACCUUAUUUUUAUUAGUACGAAAGGACCAUAAAAUUGAAAUAAUUUUUAUAUUAUUGAUAAAUAUUAAUUUACU